CAUUAAUGAAUAUAACAUCGGAGGGAGGAAUAUGGGGGAAGUUGUUGCUGGCCUUUAGGGCAUGUGCACACUCUUCCGAGGACCUCUCGACGUCUUUCAUCUCUCACCUGUGCACCAAUUGUAGGUUAGAUUUCUCUCUCCAGUAGGAGGGGGAGGUCGUUAAUAACCUAUGUAUUCAAUAUACAUCUUCGUGUAGAAAGUCCCAGAAUGUUUACUAUCAGAGAGUUGCGACUUCUAGGAGUUGUGAAUCUUUGAGAUAAAAGUUUAUUACAACUUUCAGCAAUGGAUCUCUUGGCUCUCGCAUCGAUGAAGAACGCAGCGAAAAGCGAUAUGUAAUGUGAAUUGCAGAUCUACAGUGAAUCAUCGAAUCUUUGAACGCACCUUGCGCUCCUUGGUAUUCCGAGGAGCAUGCCUGUUUGAGUGUCAGUAAUUUCUCAACCCCCUCUUGAUUAGAUUCAAGAGGGGAGCUUGGAUAGUGGGGGCUGCUGGUGACUAGGGACUUUUGUCCCUAGACUCGGCUCUCCUUAAAUAUAUUGGCUUGCGGUUAACUUUUCGAGUUUGCGCGAAAAGGCUUUCGGCGUGAUAAUGAUCGCUGUGUGCUGAAGUGCAUAAAUGAAAAGUUUCGUGCCUCUAAUAUUAUGUUGACUGUUUAUUCAGUCUUCAAAAAUUUGACAUUUUGACCUCAAAUCAGGUAGGACUACCCGCUGAACUUAAGCAUAUCAAUAAGCGGAGGAAAAGAAACUAACAAGGAUUCCCCUAGUAACUGCGAGUGAACCGGGAAAAGCUCAAAUUUUGAAUCUGGCAGUCUUUUAGAUGUCCGAGUGUA
rnacentral:rRNA from 1 species